UUAGAAAGAUAAAAUGAACCUUCCAAAGUGACUUUUAAACUGUUUUGGUAGGGAUUUUAAUUAAUUUAGAAUUUAAUAAAGUUUGAUGUUUAUCCGCUUUAACUUCCGAAAACAUCGUGCAUAUUUAAAUUUUGCAACAUUCUAAAACUUUAAAAAUAACCAAAUUAAUUACCGUAUAAUAUUUGUUUGCAUUUACAAACAUUUUAAAAGUAUUUUGUACAUGAUUUUCAACAAUAUAUUUCAUUGUUGCAGUGAAAUUCAAUUUAAUUCUCAUGUUUCAUUAUUAUUAUUAUCACAUGAAUUUAUUUAAUCUUUGAAAGCAAAGGAAGAAAGAUGCUGAUAACUAUUUGAACAGAUUAGUUUUAAAAAAAUCAGACAAUGAAAUUGCAUUAUUGCAAAAUACGGCAUAAAUUGAUAGAUAAUCGAUACACUUAAAUUUUUAAUGGCUUUAAAGUGCAAGUCGACAUCAUUAGUCAAGAACCUCCUUUAUAGAGAGAAGCGUGACAUCAAGUUAUGUGUGAAUACAUUAAAUUAAACGCGACCGAUAUUCCUGAUGUUGAUAAAAGUGGCUAAUCUAGGAUAAGUUCUACACCGGUUAUGUAAUGUCUCCGAAAAUUGGUUAUCAUGAUUAAGACAUUAAAUUACUCCAGUGCGACAUAAAGUGAAUUUUGAAGUGGAUACUGCUUGAUAAGCCUCUUAUGAUAGCUGUUAGCAGUCUGGCAACUAAAUUGAUUUAUUUGUUUGGAAUGCAAAUGUUUUUAGGAGGUAGGGCCAGGAAAGAAAGAAUUUUAACGGUGCUCAUAACAUCCAUGAUCGAUUAUAUAUUAAUAAUGACAUAAUUUUUAAUUUAUAUUUUAUUACUGUUUACACGUAUCAUUUCAUUAUAUACAUUUAGAUUUUAAGAAUUAUGCAUUUAGGUCUUCUAUAUUUCUAAGAAAAGGCUAUUGAUUAUCCAUACAUUGUGAAGUACUUCAACAUUCUAUGCAUUUUCUUGAUAACACUCUUAGUCAUCUGCAUUAAAAGAAGUUUAUGUAUUUCUGGCCCAGAUUUAGUUGUUUCUAACGUAAGAGAAAGUAAAGUACAUGUUGUUUGGACUCCACUUAAGAUACCUGGAAAAGUAAUUGAAAAAUAUCAAGUCUCUGCCUAUCCUCUACAAUCAUUUGGAACAGAUAUUUUGAAACAGAACGAAUGGACCUUUUCUAAUAGUUCAAGCCGUACUGAUCUUGUUGGCUUGCAUCCAGGCACCAAGUACAACAUCAGUGUUUGGGCUGUCACAAGUGAUGGUCGAACUGAUCCAACUACUAAAAUAGUUUGGACUGAAGUUGGAGCUUAAAAAGAACUGCAGUAUGUUUGAAUGAGCAAUGUUUGCCAAUCCCUGACUUAGUGGGUUCCAUGAGGUGAAGGAUUGGACUUUGAAUACGCUGCACGUGGACAACUUUAAGAGAACUGUGAUGUAGUGCAAGCGGGUGAAUUUUUUCGAUCCCAGCGUAAGAUGGUCUCGAGUGGCAAGAAGCUGAAACUGAGCCCGACCCACGAAAAGAAAAAUUCUGAUCAAAGACUCAGCUUCAAAUUGGAUAACAUGCUAAUAGUGAAGCAGCUAUUUUCUUUUGGUUUGUGGACUGUGCCUCGUGGGGAGGGCCACGUUUUCCAAACUUCCAACGCCCUGAUGCUGAUUUUUCAUCUUCCGGCAAAAAGUUUACAGUGUCAUCCAAAACCCAGCACGGUGCAAAGAAGUUUUGUGGAACAAGAUCAGUUCUUGUAUGACAGGUAUGUCAUGCAUCCAAAUAUCCAAAUUCAAUAUAUGUCGUGCCACCCGAGACCAGAUAUCUGAUUUUGACUGUUCAUAAAACUUUAUUUUCUGUGGAUAUGAUGGCGUGGGAGGAUAUCCGAGGCCUUCAAGACUUUCGUACACCUUGCAGGCAUAUAAUUUGCCCCCUCCCACGCCAAAGCACGAGAUGCGCCAGACAUCAUCAGACCUGAGGAAAGGUGAUCAAGAAAAAGGAUGAGAAGGAAUUCACCCGAACCUGUAUUCAUUCAGCCGAGGGACCCUGAGCCUGAAACUGUUGUGCAAUAGCCCACACGAGACCCUAUACCUGAGACUGAGCCCACACAAGCAUUGCAGGAAGAUGUUUUGAUUUUUGAAGACGAUUGGAUAAAUAUUAUGCAGCAAGAUGUUUGCCAAGAAACCAUUAAUGAUUUCUUGGCAAACUUUGAGCGAGAACUUUGUUCGAUGGGUCCGGCUCAUCAGAUGCAUGUUGAAAGACCACCUGAUGUGUACCAACCACCAAAUGUGUCUGUUGUGCUACCUCCACCCCCAGAUAAUUACUGGAGGUCCAAUGUCAUUUAGAGACACUUCUGCAAAUUUGUUCGAUGAAUCACCACCAAUGGACUUGACAUUGGAGGCAAGAGUGGCCCUUCCCAGGCAAACUCAUGUCUUUAAACCUGGGAAGGGUCCGCUGGACUUGUCAUGUAAACUAAUUUGAGUAAUGUGUAAAUAUUCAUAAUGUUCAAUCAUAAUGUUUGUAAACUAAUUUCUGUACUGUGUAAUAAUAUAUAUUGUCAAUAAAUAAUGUUUUCAUAU